rnacentral:misc_RNA from 1 species
GGAAAUCAAUCUGUUGGCAUCCAGUGAACUCUAGGGAGGAAAUCCGUCUUCGUCUUGAUAUGCAUCUUCAUCAAAUUCCCCUACACCAAAUAUCCAAAACUCCUGCCCCUUGUCCCUAUUCACAAUUCACCUUUCUCUUGUCCCCACUCACAAUUCAUUGCUCUGUGUACAGCUUGUUUCAAUGGCUGAGAUCUCCAACUGUGAAAAGCAACCAAUCUAUCUUAAUGGAGACCUUGACUCAUUUAUUAUUGAAGUUAGAAGGUUUCCUAACAUGUACAUAGUCUCCACCUGCAUUCACACUUUUUUGAUCUACUGCUGCCAUUAAGUCCGCCGCUUCCACCGACGAUGAGACCAGUGAAGAUGACCAGAAUUCAUCACCACUGUUACCAUCGUCG